rnacentral:lncRNA from 1 species
UUUUUUUUUUUUUUUUUUUUUCUAUGCAGUGAUCUUUUAAAGGUCUUGGUUAUUGACCUCUUUUAGAUUUUAAGGAGUAAAUUAUUAAUUUUCAGAGGUCCUCACAUACACACACUGUAUUCAUAGCAUCUCAGUGGUUCUCAAGUCUCAAGUCAGCUUUAGUAUAUAAAACAUAUUAGGAAAUUGUCUUAGUCAGGGUUUCUAUUCCUGCAGAAAACAUCAUGACCAAGAAGCAAGUUGGGAAGGGAAGGGCUUAUUCAGCUUACACUUUUCUUUUUGUUUUUUGUGUUUUGUUUUGUUUUGGAGACAGGGUUUCUCUGUAUAGCCCUAGCUGUCCUGGAACUCACUCUGUAGACCAGGCUGGCCUCAAACUCAGAAAUCUACCUGCCUCUGCCUCCCAAGUGCUGGGAUUUAAAGACGUGCGCCACCACUGCCUGGCUCAGCUUGCACUUUUAUACUGCUAUUCAUCACUAAAGGAAGUCAGGACUAGAACUCAGGCAGGGAAGCAGGAGCUGAUGCAGAGGCCAUGGAGGGAUGUUACUUACUGGCUUGCUUCCCCUGGCUUGCUCAGCUUGCUCUCUUAUAGAACCCAAGACUUCCAGCCCAGAGAUGGUACCACCCACAAUCGGCCUCCCCUCUGAUCACUAAUUGAGAAGAUGCCUUACAGCUGGACCUCAUGGAGGCAUUUCCCCAACUGAAGCUCCUUUCUCUGUGAUAACUCCAACCUGUGUCAAGUUGACACACAAAAGUAGCCAGUAAAGGAAUGUACCAUCCUUUCCUAACAAAGGUGAAUAAGACGUCUUGAUUUUCAUAGCACAGUUACUCUCUUGUUUUUAGGUAACUUUUAUAACUUUUAUACUUUUAUACUUAUAACUUUUAUACUUUUAUACUUCCUAACAAAGGUGAAUAAGACGUCUUGAUUUUCAUAGCACAGUUACUCUCUUGUUUUUAGGUAACUUUUAUAACUUUUAUACUUCUUUGUUUUUCCUUAAACUUUCAGAAUAUCCCAGUAUUUGGGAGGCAGAGGUGGGUGGAUCUCUGUAAGUUUGAGGCCAGCCUGGUCUACAUAGUGAGUUUCAGAAUAGCAGAGCUUACAUAGUGAGAAAAAAAGCAAAAAGCUGCCACCACAACAAAACAAACAAUAACAAGGAACCCUUUCAAAAUUUCUUACUCUGUUCACUUUUUUCAGCUUGCUUCCUACUUCACUGACCCAGCAGUGCUGAGGCCUGUGACUUUGUAGUAGAGCACUUGCCUGUGAGUGAAAUUCUGGGUUCAGUCUCAGUGUCACAUCCACUUGCCUGUCUGUAACCUGUGCCCGUAUGUUGUUGUUUCUUCCUUUUGGUAGGGCAGGCUGGCACUUGCAUUUAUUUACAGCUGUCUAAGAGUCCCACUCCCAUUGUCUGCACACAUGCUCCCUGUUCCCUUCCAGGCUUUGUCUUGCUGUUACCUCAUUUGUCGUUCCAUACACUUUCUUUCCUUAUUUGUUUCCAUGUCUCUUUAUCACUGUAACAUAAGUUCUCUGAGGACUCAGAUCUUCACCUGUUUUGUUUGUGGUGGAAUUUUCAGUGCCCAGAGUAGUAUGUGGCCUUCAGUUUGUACUCUACAAUAUUCAGGUUUAGUGGAUGAAUAAAUGACAUGUAUAUUCUCAAGUUCACUCUAUAAUACAGAGUCAGUCAGUAUUAGUGAAAUCUUACCAAAGUUUUCAACAGUAACAAAUGCUGUUAGAACAGAAGGGAGACUUAGACAUUACAGUGGAGGCCUCUGGAGAGAGCACUGAGGCUGAGGCUGACGCUGCAGACAGAGUUUCUGGUAAUGUAGUUGGAAAAGAAUGAGAACUUUUAAUGAAGCAGCCAUUAGACAUGGAGCCAACCUUCGAUCUGGGGGAGUUGUGUUUCUAUGCUUUAUUGCUUUGGAGAGUGUGGUAUAUUUGUUCAGCGUGUCAUUAUCCUCAGAAAUUCCAAUACCAAGUUAGUGACUUCAAGGCCUUUCUCUUCAAUUUUUAGAUAAAAUUUAAAAUAACAACAGCUGAAUCCAAGUUCCCUGUGGGAAAAAAAGGUCUCUAAUUUAUUAUAAGGGACAUUGUAUCAUGCUUGCCUAGCUAAUAUGUCAUUAUUACUCUGUGGUGACUGAGUUAUCUCUGAGUGUAGGUGCUGCUUCUGGGAACUUGAGAGCUGUGCCACAUUUGCUUGCUGGGGCCUUCGUGGCAUCUCUUUUCUUUGGCUGACAUGAGAACACUCUGCACCCUUUUAAACCUCAGCUCUCCAGAGCUAAGCUUUACCCUAACCUAUCUUGUCUCCAAAUAAUUCAUCAAUUCUGUUUAUGGCAAUGUGUUCUUAUCUUACUAGUGAUUUUUUUUUUUUUAAAGAUUUAGUGAGUACACUGUAACUGUCUUCAGACACCAGAAGAGGGCAUUGGAUCUCACUACAGAUGGUUGUGAGCCACCAUCUGGGAUGGUGGGAAUUGACUCAGGACCUCUGGAAGAGCAGUCAGUGCUCUUAAUGCUGAGCCACCUCAUUAGUGAUCUUGGGACUCAUAGAAUUUUAGAUUUAGACAAAACCCUAAGGAGUGAGUCACAGUCUAAUACUGGAUAGGUUAUAAAUAUGGGGGGUGGUGCAGAAUAAUGAAUUAUCUUCCUAAAGACUCAGCUAAUGACUACAUUCUAGAAAAAUCUUGAGAGCAUAGCCCACCAUAUUUGUCUUUGAAAAUCAAGUUUUAUUGUAAAAAGACCAUGCCCGUUUGCACACAUAAUGAGGCUUCUUUUGUGCUACAAUGACAAUUGAGGAGUUGCCAUGCAGAGUAUAUGGCUAACAAUGCCUUCACAGAGAAUGUGCCAAUCCCUGAUUUAAACAAUGUAAAAACCCAUUCCUGUAAGUAUAACUCAUUUCUUCCAGCGUAGCAUUAGUGUGUCAAGUGAAAGCAAUGGAAGGCUCCUCUAGUUUACAGAGGUUGUCACCAGCAUGCUGUGGUCACUGGCUUUCAAUUUAUUUUAAAAAGUUAUUUCUGCUUAAUCACUCUGAAGGACUGGGGAUACAGCUCAGUUGGCAAAGUGCUUGACUGUCAUGCAUAAGGUUCAGUCCCAGCACUCCAUACACGAAGCAUAGUAGCACCAUCCUGUAAUUCCAGAAGGUCAAGGCAGGAGAAGCACAGGCUCAAGGCCAGCUGUUACCUAGAGAGUUCAAAGGGAGCAAGACCCUGUCUCCAAAUUAGGCAAACAAGAAUUACAAAAUGUGUAGUUCUCUUACUAGCAGCAGGUCUCACAGUGGCUGUAGUUGACUGUAGUAGUUUUCUUCAAUGUCAAAGACUGCUUAGUAGCCAUAUGGGUUUAGAUAAACAAAGAGUUGAAGCCAGCCUAGACUACAUAGUAAAACUUUGUCUU